rnacentral:lncRNA from 1 species
GUAAAUCCCUAAAUCUCCCUCAAUCCCUAGUUCUGAAAUCCCCUAGAAGUGAAAUCCCUAAUUCGUCUGUCCCCCUUUCUCUUCUCCAAAUCGGCUUCUCAGGUAAUUAGCUAUCUCUCACGAGUAUCAUACUUAAGGUUAUUUUAUUUCUCGUAUAAAAAAGUCUUAGCCAAUACGAGUUUCUUUCCCGUAUAAAAAUAUUAAAUCUAGUUGUUUUGUUCAGAAAUGUACUAAUCUCAGUAUUUUUAUUUCUUCUUUUGUGUACAGGAAAGAUUUUAUUUUGGGAAUCAUGUGUUACCAUACUUUGAAACAAGGAUAACUCUGCUGAAACAACUUCUUAGCCUUCUUCCUGUUGUCCACAAUGUCAGAUUUUAUUUUGAAAUAUGUUGAUAUUCUUUCUUGUUACAUUGGUUAAAUCAAGAUAGAGAUUCACUUUAUCCAUCUUAUACUAAAUCACAAUUUCAUGUUCAUUCUUUCUUCAUUCAUAUAUAUAUUAAAGCUCAUUCAUUCUUUCUUUAUUUGUUCCAUUUGUUUAAUAUUUGUUCCAAUGUUGACAUCGCAUGCUUUAGAUUUCAACACACGAUCAUCCAAUAUCUGUUCCAAUACUUCAAAAUUAGGGAUCUUCUGCAUCCAGGUUUGUCUGCCAAUUCUUCGACUUUAAAGCAAUCGACAUUUAUCUUUUGAGACUUUCGAUAUACAGAAGUUGUUUCGUUUUGUUUCUUUCUAUCAUGUUGAUUUUUCACCAUUACAAAUGAUCAUGAAUCAUGAUGCUUAACAACCAAUUAUAGGAUUACAUUAAUGAUGUUCAGUUUAAUGAAGAUUUUAAUAAUGUCGUGGGUAUUGCCGUAUUGGUGGUCUAGCACAGAAAUUGGUAAAGUGUGAGAUAGAUAUUGUUUAUCCUUUGGUUUAUUUGCUGAUCAAAUUAGUGUUGAUACGUAGUUUUUCAACAAUGCAUAUCGUUAAAACUCGUCUCAAAAAUCGCAUUGGUGGUAGUUUGAUAAAUGAUUAUUUAGUAACAUAUAUCGAUAAUGAUAUUUUUAAAAAUAUAAACAACGAAAUAAUUUUAAAAAUAUUUAAUGAUAUGUGUUAUCGUCGUAAGAUAUUGAAGUAAUGUUUAAUUAUUUAGAAUUUUUAUUUAAAUUUUUUAUUGUUAAUUGAAUGAAUGUGUUUAUUUUUAAUUUAAAUAUUAAUGAAUGAAGGUAUUUAAUAUUAAUUUUUAUAAGUUUUUAUAAUCGAUUUUAUGAAUUGAUCAUGUCAAAAUUUUAUUUUUAAAAUAGUACAUAAUUUUUUUCCGCCUUAGCCGAAUGUCACCCCCACUACCGGGGAUUCCUGGAUAUACCACUGGUUACUGAACCAUCAUAAGUAGAUCACAGACGAUAUCGUUAAAAAUGUACAAGGAAUAGAAGAGGGUGUGGACGAACUUGGGUCGGAGACAAAGGAGAAGGUGGAAUCAAGAAACGAAGAAGCUAGAGGACACAAAGAUGGUCGAGAUCGUCAUGGACGUAGAGGAAGCCAAUUCAAGGCCGGCGAGAAUAAACAAGACGAGGGCGGCGAUGACCGGUAACUUAGCUAAGCCCUAAUUGUGUUUUCAUCCAACCUACAAGUAAAAAGUCGACUCGGCUGAAGAAGAGACCCUCUCUCGCUAUAGGGCUGGAGGAGAAUAAUGUUGGGCCGCUAAAAGCCCAUUAUCAUUUCUAAAUUAAUUCGUACCUUAUAGGGACACAUUGUAACCCUAACUAGCUAGAGAUCGAACCUUUUGAUUAAUUAAUUAGAAUAAAAUUCAAAAAUGCUCACCAAAACAUUAA